rnacentral:rRNA from 1 species
UACGAAGGGUGCAAGCGUUAAUCGGAAUUACUGGGCGUAAAGCGCGUGUAGGCGGCCAUCUAAGUCGGGCGUGAAAUCCCACGGCUCAACCGUGGAAGUGCACUCGAAACUGGAUGGCUAGAGUCCUGGAGAGGAAGGUGGAAUGCUUGGUGUAGAGGUGAAAUUCGUAGAUAUCAAGCGGAACACCGGUGGCGAAGGCGGCCUGCUGGGCAGUUUUGCUGACACUGAGGCGCGACAGCGUGGGGAGCAACAGG